ensembl:lncRNA
ACUCAGUGUAUUAAAUAAACAAGGUGGAGCUACCAAAGUAACGAGAGAGAGCCCUUUCCAGGGGACAUGGAAAGCAGAGAGACCUGUAACAUUAAAUACAUACUAUUUAAAGGAAACAGGAAAGUGACUCUACACUUUUGUGUGCUGGACACUCACUAGGAUCACCUGGGGUAUAUUAAACACUGUGAUGUCUGGACCCCACCUCAGAGAUGAUACUUUAACACAUCUGCAGUGCCCAGGCAUUGACAUUUUUAAAAUCUUCCUAGAUAACUUUGAUGUGCACCACCUAAUCAGUGUUCUCCAAUGAGUUUGGAGCUGACAAGCUGAGAAGCCAGUGCUCUAGUAAUGAACAUUCUCCUUACUCCUCCUUGGGAGGAUUAGAUCACAGAGGGAGCUUGAGUUAUCUUAUUUCCCAGCAGGGAUCCUGGGCUGGGCUGAGCCAAUCCCAGUCCCCUCAUGCAGUGUGGGGCAGUUAUUCCUUCCACCAUUAGACUUUUAGGGCUGACAAACAACUUGGGGUUCACGAAGCCUGCUCAAAGUCACAGUCACAGAGUUGCUGCAGUACUCCUGUGAGUUAGCUAUGAUGGUCAACCCCCACUUUCCAGAGGAAGAAACGGAGUAAUGGAGAGAGCAGGUAUACAUCCGAAAAAAUUGAAAACAGAUAUUCAAACAAAAACUUUCACUGAAAAGUUCAUAGCAGCACUACUCAAAAUGAUCAAAAGGAAGCAAUCCAAUGCACAGCUGAUGAACGAAUGAACAAAAUGUGAUAUGGCCAUACCAUGGAAUACCACUCAGCCACAAAAAGGAGCACGAUCCAGACACAUGCUGCAACAUGGAUAAACCUGGGAAAUAUUAUGGUGAGGGAAAGAUGCAAGACUCAAAAAGUCACAUAUUAAUGAUUCCAUGUAUAUGAAAUAGAACAGAAGAGGUAGAUCCAGGGACAGAAAGAUUGCUGACUGCCAGGGACUGGGCAGAUGGUUGAGUAGAGAGUGACUGCUUAAUGGAUAUGGGGUUUCUCUUUAAGGUCAUGAAAAAGUUUUGCAACUAUCUAUUGGUGACAGUUUCGCAACAUUGUGAAUAUGCUACAAGCCACUCAAUUGUAUAUUUUUAAAUGGUUAUUUUAUAUUACAUGAAUUUUACCAUGAUUUUAAAAAACUAGGGAUGGUGGUCCUCAUCCUAUGGCUUGUGGUCUCCCUAUUUCUUCUCCAUGCAAAUCUUGGGUAAAUGACAAAUCAAACUGCAAAAAUCUGAGACUUCCCUGGUGGUCCAGUGGUUAAGACUUGUCGUUUCCACUUCAGGGGACAUGGAUUGGAUCCCUAGUCUGAGAUCCCACAUGCAUGCUAUCCAGCGAGGUCAAAAAAGAAAAAUAGAGACACAGCCUCCCUCAGAGGAGGCUCUGAGAAGAGGUGGAACUCAGGCAGUCUCCCCAGAUGACUCUAGUAUGUGGCCCAGGUGAUAUC